rnacentral:lncRNA from 1 species
CCAGGAGAGUGCUGAGCUAAGGAACAGCAAAGUCCUGACUCUGCACAAGGGAUCCAGACAAAUUUAAAAGAAACUGCAAUAACAGAAGUGGGAUUUGAGCAUCUGGGAAGACGUUUGAGAGAGUGAAUGAAUACAAACUGAGGCCUCUAGGGAGUCUGAUAGGAAACAAAAGGAGCAAAAUGAAAUACAGUGUUUAAUGGUAAUGUAUGUGGCACUGACUGUCUUACACUCAGGGCUACCUGAUAAAACUCUUUCUUCUGCAUGAUCUAACUUCUCUGAGUUCAUUUACCUCUCUGUACAAGCCAGACUACAUGAACAUGGAUGGAAAUGAGACAUUGUUGUGUUCUUAAAUGCUGAUGAAUAAGAACUGAGUCAGAUCUGACAAAUAUGUUAAAUUUUUAACCAAAUACCAGGUUAAUUAGCCACCAUCAGUGGAGAGUUUAUGCAGGAAAAAGGAUUUCCCUCUGUUGGGCUGCUCCCCAGCUAAGGAGGCCUGGUCUGUGGCCAGAAGUACUUUGCCUUUAAUCCCCAAUUUCUCAAAGUCAGAGGAAGAUUCCCACUGAUGCCAAGAACAGGACUCCAUGUUGAGAGGGAUGGAAGCAAAGACUUCAGCUGCAUCAGGUGGAAAAGCCUCCUUCAGAAGGACAGGUUAGCUGAGGGUGCAGCUCCUGAGUGAGCCACAGCCAUGCUCAUCUGGCAGAGUGGUGUGUGACAGCUGUGUGUCAACAACAAUUAGACAAAAAAAAAAUAAAAUUAAGGACUUCAAUGGCA